AUGGCCAAGGAAGGCAUUGCUGCUGGAGGUGUAAUGGACGUUAAUACUGCUUUACAAGAGGUGCUGAAGACCGCCCUCAUCCACGAUGGCCUAGCACGUGGAAUUCACGAAGCUGCCGAAGCCUUAGACAAGUGCCAAGCCCAUCUUUGUGUGCUUGUACCCAACUGUGAUGAGCCCAUGUAUGUCAAGUCGUGGAGGCCCUUUGCCAUGAACACCAAAUCAACCUAAUUAAGGUUGAUGACAACAAGAAACUAGGGGAAAGGAUAGGCCUCUGUAAAAUUAACAGAGAAGGGAAACCCUGUAAAGUGGUUGGUUGCAGUUGUGUAGUAGUUAAGGACUAUGGCAAGGAGUCUCAGGCCAAGGAUGUCAUCCAAGAGUACUUCAAAUGCAAGAAAUGA
rnacentral:lncRNA from 1 species